UCCGACAGUUUAGUCUGGAACUUCGAAGUUUGCAAACGCCGGCUCUAGUUUUCCGCGAAGAACGUAAAAGAGAAAGCAUAAAUUAAGCAUAUUUAACGCAUUUUCAGCGCAAGGCAUUUUUCCUGUAUUUGCAAAGUGCCCUAUAGGAUUAUGUCGAUUAUGUCCGGCGACGCAACAGGCAUUAACGAGAGCAACAAUACAGCCAGCAUUUCGGAAGGCAGCAGCAAUAGUGCUGAGAUCAAGAAGCUCGACAGCCAGCCUACAAAUAAAGUUAUUUCGUU